UACAGAGGCCUCGAGCGUUAGGCGGAAUCACUGGGCUUAAAGCGUGUGUAGGCGGACUUCUAAGUACCUUGUGAAAUCCCACAGCUUAACUGUGGAACUGCUUUGGUAUACUGGUUGUCUUGAGUCAUCUAGGGGGCGAGCGGAACAAGUGGUGGAGCGGUGAAAUGCGUAGAUAUCACUUGGAACGCCCACGGUGAAAAACAG
rnacentral:rRNA from 1 species